CUCCCACGCCCCAGCGGCCUCAUUUCCACGGAAGAAGCACAAUGCACUCUGAGCUCUAAAUAAAACCCUUUCACAGUUGCCCUGAAGUUAUUUUCUAGGCUUCCAUCCCUCCCCCUCUGCCCCCCCUCGGGUAUGUGGUGCUCUCCCGGCGGCUGACCUUCGCACCCAGCACUCAGGACCCGGUUGUUGUCCUUUGGAGGGGCCGCGGCAGACGGGGGCGGGCGGUUGGCAAACAGGACAUUGGCCUCCAGCACUUGGCGAUAAACGCGGCGGCACUGAUGGUGUCUUAGGGCAGUGCUCGGCACGGCGCUGGCACUGCUUUGUCCCGCUCCCGUCGACCGUACCCAGAGCUCUGCUCCCCCUGAGCCUGCCCACGGCCGGGCACUGCGCGGGGCCACGUGUGUAGGGCGAGGAAUCCAGCCCUCGCUCUGCCUUCAGCACGGCCAAGCCCAGCCCCGCCGCCGCUCUGUGCACGCACGCUUCUCCCUGCCUGCAGACACGUUACGGCAGUGCCCCGGGCACACAGUCCUCCCCCGGCAGCACGGACAUCCGCGGCCGUGUGAGCCGUGCUGAGGUCUCCUGCUUUCCGAGGGGCACCGACUCACGGUGCCAACGGGCAGGACUCGAUGGAGAGCUGGCAGCUGGUUCAGGCGUGCUGUGACAGCCUCUCAGCAAUCAGACAGCACCACUCGCAGCUCGGUUUGAGAUGGGAACAGGAAGAAAUGUGUCAACACUUUCAUGUCUCUGCAUGUCGGAGCGGCGUGCCUGGCCAGGGCUGUGUGCUGCGGGCACACGUGUCACGGGCAGCACCAGGGCUGUGUGUGGGGCCGCGCUCUGCUGCGCAGGGCUAUGAGCCCGAGCCCCACAGCACUGCAGGGGCCCCUCGGCACCGCUGUGUGCAGGCACUGCCGCAUCCCAGCAGGGCAGGCCAUGAUCUGACCCCCUGUGCAGGCUCUGUGAACAUGGCAGUGUGCCCCGAGGUCCCCACACACCGUGUGGCUGUGAUUAAAAACAGGCUGUGUGCAAACCAUGUGGGGCUUUGUGUUAAUUAAGUGUUGCCUCGUAAGGUGCGUGCUGGGAUACAGAGGUGCAGGAGUGGGGCUGAUGGCAAAAUGAGCUGCUGAUCAAAGAGCUGCUCAGUGCUGGGGGGCCGGGUUGGGGGGGCCCUCGCUGGGGUCCAGGUCCCCACUGCAGCCCCACAGUCAAAGCACGGAGCUACAGCCCCACACCGAGCAGCCCUGCUCUGUUCCUCAGCCCCGUCCCUGCAGCACCGCCGCUGCUAACACGGCUCUCUUGUUAAGUCGGGACAGUUCUGGAGAUGAGGCACACGAGGCAGUACUCAGCUCUGGGUGCUGGGGCUGCCAGGCGCUGCUGGCUUUGCCCACAGCCCCGGUUCGUGUCCGUGAUGGGAUAUCCAUACUUUCUUCCCUAUGCACGGGAGCGUUUUACAGAGAAAUGCUGUCAGCAUUCUGAGGGGCUGCUGCAUUCCAGCAUCUCAGUUUUAACACCACUCAGUGUGAAAACAUGAACAUUUUGACUCCAACUACGGAAUGACAAAUGUGAGCGCCAGACAUCUGCCACUCAUUUCAGAAUGUCACCAUUCCCCACAGCGCAGCAGUGCUGGCACGGGGCUGCGUGGGGCCCCAGGGCGGUGCUGCUCCUUUGCCCCAUCCCUGCCCGCAGUGGGGAAUCCCAGCAGGAAAUGGCCAUUCACACUGCAGUGUGUGUGCCCGGGUCAGCAGCUCGGCUCACCCAGCAGCCACAGUGCUGUUUGCAGAGCUCUUCGUGCACAACAGCUGCGUCUGCUGAGCAGCAAACUGCGUGGGAAAGAACUUCGAUAAAUAAAAAGUUAUUAAAUGUAAACAAAGGCUGUGCAGGAACGGCUGAAGGUUCAAAAGUUGUGACCGUCAUGGACAACUUUUGUCAUCCCUUGGGAACCAACUGGGACUUCUCAAGAGUAAGAAUUGCUUUCCUUCCCUGCAGGCCCACCUGCGCUCACUUCCCUCUGGCUGCAGCCACGUGCAGACAGAGCUGUGCACACCUGGGAGCUGCACAGGGGCACGGGGCUGCCUGGAAGGACCUCCUCCUGCAGCACUCCUCCAUGUGGGAGAGGAGGAGGUGAGCAGCACUGCAGUGGUGUGGCAGCACCCAGCAUGGCGUGCACUGCUGUCUGCUCUGCUCAUUGGAGUCGGUUCCUGCCGGCUGUGGUCAGGAUGGGGCCCACACCGCCCUGCACCGCUGCAGGAAGGAGCUGGCAGCAGAGGCCCCAGCAUGGUUUGCAGGGAGGAAACCAAAGCAUGUGGCUGCGCAGCUCACAGCACAGCACAGGGCAACAUGCUUGAGCAGCAGGCUAAUAGCCACGGCCAGCAGCGUGCCCUCAGUGCAUGGAGGGCUGUCGCAUCCCUUCCCCUGCAUCACACUCCGCAUUUGCUCUGCAGUGAAGCAUGGGUUAGAAGGCUGAGCCACCCAAUGCAGGUCACUGCAGCAGUGCCGUACGCCACAGGGAAUGCCACGAGUGCUGCCCCGUCACUGCGCUCCGCAUCCUGCGCUGCUCUGCAAAAACGAGAGCCCCAGCACAGCCCCGGACCCACACAGCCCACUGCUCACCCCAAAGCUGUGUGUUCCCCAGUGGGACCGUGGCGUGGAAGAGCCCAUCUUUCCCAGGCAGCGAUGGGAGCAGGAGGGGUGUGAUGGGCGCCUCCUGCAGAGCAGCCGGCCCCUCUGCCUCUGCUGCGUGCAGCCCUGGGAGUGCAGCGCUUUUUCUGCAGCUGCAGGAGAUGCAGGGGGGUUCACGUCCCACUGGCUGCUCGCUGUUUUUUUCAGCUGGCUCUGAGAAGUGCGGGUAAUUAGGAAAAAUCUAUAACAAGAAGUACAAACAAGUCACGGUCUGCCAUUAGCCAGAAAGUCUGCCCUCUGCCUCAGCUACAGCUUGAUUCAAUCAGAAUAAUGAAGCAGAAGCUGUGCAGAGGGAAACAGCACUUGGGGAAGGUCUGAAAACACAGAGGCACAGCUCGGAGAGCAGGUCUUGCAGUGGAACCUGAAGUGGGGGUGUGGGCUGAUGCUGGGCCAACACCUCUGUGAGCGCAGCGCAGCGCAGCCUAUGGCAUGUGCAGAGGGGCACCGGGGAAAGGCACCCAGACUCAGUGGAGGGAGCAGAGCCCUUCCCCUGUCCCACUGCCCAGCUGCUGUCCCACCCACACACCACAGGGCCAUGACCGCCCGCACUGUGGGGCUCUGCCCCUCUCUGCAUGCCCCCCCGUGACCCC
ensembl:lncRNA